CGUGCAGGUGGUUCGGAAAGUUGGAUGUGAAAGCUCCUGGCUUAACUAGGAGAGGUCGUUCAAUACUUCCGGGCUUGAGUGUGGGAGAGGGAGGUGGAAUUCCGGGUGUAGUGGUGAAAUGCGUAGAUAUCCGGAGGAACACCAGUGGCGAAAGCGGCCUCCUGGCCCGCUACUGACACUUAGACGCGAAAGCUAGGGUAGCAAACG
rnacentral:rRNA from 1 species